UCAUGGAGUGCCUUAUGGGGAUGUGCCUGUAGGCACUCUAUUUUGACAUGGGAGGUAUUGAAAAAUUCUAUCGUUCUAAUUGUGGAAUUGCAACAGUGACUGCCUAAGGGAUUAAUCUGCAUCCACAGAAAGAUUUUGGAUCUUUCUAGAGAAUAGUUUUUCACCCCUUUCAAGUUAGCUUUUCGGCCCUCCUUGGAGGAAUAUUCGGAAGAUGGAUGGAUUUUUGAGAGAGAACCAGCAAUAGCAUCCCCGAUAUCCUUUAAUGGGGAUCGAUGGCUAUCAAAGGGGGUCUUCUCACAUGGAUAUCACUGAGGGCCCCAU
rnacentral:lncRNA from 1 species